rnacentral:rRNA from 1 species
UUGAACUGAAGAGUUUGAUCCUGGCUCAGAUUGAACGCUGGCGGCAUGCCUUACACAUGCAAGUCGAACGGCAGCACGGACUUCGGUCUGGUGGCGAGUGGCGA